GACGAACGCUGGCGGCGUGCCUAAUACAUGCAAGUUGAGCGCUGAAGGUUGGUACUUGUACCAACUGGCUGAGCAGCGAACGGGUGAGUAACGCGUGGGGAAUCUGCCUUUGAGCGGGGGACAACAUUUGGAAACGAAUGCUAAUACCGCAUAAAAACUUUAAACACAAGUUUUAAGUUUGAAAGAUGCAAUUGCAUCACUCAAAGAUGAUCCCGCGUUGUAUUAGCUAGUUGGUGAGGUAAAGGCUCACCAAGGCGAUGAUACAUAGCCGACCUGAGAGGGGGAACGGCCAAAUUGGGACUGAAACACGGCCAAAACUCCUAGGGGAGGGAGCAGUAGGGAAUUUUCGGAAAGGGAAGAAAGUCUGACCGAGAAACGCCGGGGGAGGGAAGAAGGUUUUCGGAUCGAAAAAAUCGGUGGGAAGGGAAGAACGGUGGGGAGGGGGGAAAGCCAAAAAAGGGACGGAAAAAACCAAGAAAGGAAGGGAAAAAUAGGU
rnacentral:rRNA from 1 species